rnacentral:rRNA from 1 species
ACGAACGCUGGCGGCGUGCUUAACACAUGCAAGUCGAACGGAAAGGCCCUGCUUUUGUGGGGUGCUCGCGUGGCGAACGGGUGAGUAACACGUGAGUAACCUGCCCUUGACUUUGGGAUAACUUCAGGAAACUGGGGCUAAUACCGGAUAGGAGCCCCUGCUGCCUGGUGGGGGUUGGAAAGUUUCGGCGGUUGGGGAUGGACUCGCGGCUUAUCAGCUUGUUGGUGGGGUAGUGGCUUACCAAGGCUUUGACGGGUAGCCGGCCUGAGAGGGUGACCGGCCACAUUGGGACUGAGAUACGGCCCAGACUCCUACGGGAGGCAGCAGUGGGGAAUAUUGCACAAUGGGCGGAAGCCUGAUGCAGCAACGCCGCGUGCGGGAUGACGGCCUUCGGGUUGUAAACCGCUUUCGCCUGUGACGAAGCGUGAGUGACGGUAAUGGGUAAAGAAGCACCGGCUAACUACGUG